ACGGAGGAUGCGAGCGUUAUCCGGAUUUACUGGGUUUAAAGGGCGCGUAGGCGGAUAGAUAAGUCAGAGGUGAAAACCUGCAGCUCAACCGGAGACUUGCCGUUGAUACUGUCAGUCUUGAGUAUGGUCAAGGUAGGCGGAAUUUGUGAUGUAGGGGUGAAAUGCGUAGAUAUUACGCAGAACACCGAUUGCGAAGGCAGCUUGCUGGGCCAUUACUGACGCUGAUGCGCGAAAGCGUGGGGAUCGAACAG
rnacentral:rRNA from 1 species